CAACUUAUAACAGAUAUCUAGAAGUCAAUUUAUAUUUAUUUGGAUAUUCGAAUUCAAAAAUUUUAAACAAAUUCGGAUUUUUCGGAUAUCCAAAUCCGUCCGAAUAAAAUCUAGAUAUCAAUUUAGAUAUCCAAAUUCAAAAUCCGAAAAUCCAAAUAGUCAUAUUCGAAUUUCGAUAUAUCAUUUACAAACUUAUUCACGCCUCAAGCUAGCUAAACGAUUUUAUGAGCCGUUUCAGAUCGAGAAAAAAGUGAGUUUAGUGGCUUACCAACUGAAACUUCUCCCAAGUAGUUUAAUAUUUCCGAUUUUCCAUAUAACAUUGUUGAAACAAUUCCAAGAGGAUCAACCAGAAGAAAUUUUCAAUCCGUUGCCACCAUCAACAACCAAUGAUAUGUCUAUCCAAAUCCAAAGUAGUGGCAUAUUGGAAAAUUAAACACAGAAAGGAAUGUAAGCAAGUCCUAGUCAAAUUGGACCUAAAUGCUGUAGUUCAUAAGCUCAAAGAUGAUUUGGGACAAAUCGCGAAGAACACGCCAAUGAAGACGAGAUGGACAAGACAAUCACCAACAAGGUAAUUCACACAAGACCCAACCAGAGAGUACUCGUAAUAAAGAUUAUGUAUAUAACCUUAACUAAAUCUUGUUAUCAAGUAGUGGAAGAUUAGUGUAAAACCACAUAUCAUUAUGACAUAGGUAUAGGUUAAUAGAACAUUUAAAUAGUAAAGGAUAUCGUCUCUACCGAUCAUCCAAUUUUUACCCAAUUCAAAUUUCAAUUUCUCCCUUCGGCUCCUCCAGGAGAAUUUUUCCCACUGCAACUUUCGAUCCUUGCCUACAGUCCAGUAUUGAAAUUGCCUAUGCUUUGUGAUUCUGGAUCAAUCAAUCCACCAGUUACGUUAAGUCCUUGCUUCAUCAACAAUUUGAAAAAACUGCAGACAAAGAAGACAUGAUCAGUUGAUUCUGCCAAGCAUGUCCAUCCCUCGUUGAAGUAGUCUAUCCCUGGUCAGCACCUUAGGUCAACAUUUAACACGUAAAAACAGAAGAAUACUCUUGAAUAAUAAUGACUGCUCUGAAUAUCAACAGAUUACUCUUCUGCUGUGUCUUUAUAAUCCAAACUAAAUCGAAAUAAAAUUAUUAUUUCUCAGAUCAAUCAAAUUACUCUUAGAAAAGAUGAUAUAAAAAAAAUUAAAGCAUAUUUCAAAAAAAAAAGAUGACAUAAAAAAUGGAGGCUCAGAUUCGCCUUUCUUCAGACACAAUUAUUCGUUUUCGCCUUCGACGGGAGAAAAACGAUCGGUUGACCGCAAUAGGACAACCAAGAUAGCCUUUCCACAUCGAAGGUAUCAGAAUUGUCUGAAAUCAAAAAAAUUGAACACACUCCUCAUCCCUGACGGUUGAAUCGAACCAAAUCAAAAGAUAGAAGCGAUUCGUCAUCGCCCCAUCAGAAAUAAAACCCAGAGAGAGAGAGAGAGAGAGAAUGCAUGUGUUAGUGUGAGCGUAAGUGAGAUGAUGGCAGUAGAACAAGAUUAAGGAUGGCCAUGGAUCGUAGGAGCUCAGGAAAGAACAAUCGACGAUUCUAGAAAAGGGGGCGGAAACAUUAGAUACCACCAAAAACCCUCACUACGAACAGACGACGAACUUUUCACCAAUGAGCUCAGUGAAUUUUAGGGUUUUAAUCAUUAUUUAUAGUCACACUUUGACGGACGGAC
rnacentral:lncRNA from 1 species